rnacentral:lncRNA from 1 species
CAUCAGCAUACGAAGAGGCUCUGCCCCUGCGCAUAGUGUGGUGAAUUUCCCCUGCUUCCCCCCUCCCCCCCACCUCACAAACACCCCUGCACCCCUGUACUAGUUAUUAGUUUCUCUCAUUUAGACUAAUGCGGGCCUUUUUUCUUUAAAAUUUUAAAAUUUCUUAAUAAAGUAUUUGAGGCACAAAUUUAAAAUUUUGAUUCAAAUUGGAUACUAAUUCAAAUAUCGUUGUAAUCUACUAAAGUUUUUUCAUUAAAAGUAAGAUCUUUAUAAUUAUUUCAAUAUGUACUUGGUUUGAGUAACAAUAGCGUCGGUGUUGGUUUGCAGGGAGGAGGAUGCAGCCAGGGAAUUCCACACAAUUCAUUCACUAGAGGUUAGCAAGAAUGGCUCUUUUAAAAUGAUCACAUAGUUAUGAAUGUGAUAUACUUGAUGUGACUAUCUAAAUCAUUAUUUUCUUAUUCUUUUUUUAUUACGUUGGAUAUUAGGGAAGGAUGGAAAUAUCUGACUAGCAUGCAAUGAGUUGGAAUUGCUUAACUAGUUAGACUGAAAUCAUAAAACUAUCUCAUGAUAUAGCUUUAACCUAUUAUAAGAAAAGAAGCUAUUUUAUCAGGUUACAAAUAUAUUUGUAGCAAGACGUAGGUCUAGCUGAAGUGAAUCCCCUCCAUAAAAAAGAUAUUCCCGUGCGUCUUUUUUGCCUCCAUUUUUAACGUAUUGAGGCUUGUUCUGCAUUCCAAUUCUAAUUUAUUUUUUCAUGUUUAUUGUUUAUCCGUGUUUCAAUAUAAGGUGACAUCUCCGAAAUUUUUACUCUAAAUCUUAAAAUCAAGGAAUAGCAGUAUGCACUAUGAAUUUGGUAAAUAUUCCAUUGGAUGGAAAAUAUGAAUAUAUGGCUUGGAUGAAUUGGUUAACCAUUAAUUGGAUUGAGAGUGCGAAGAAUUUGAUUUGCUACUUAUUUGAAUAUGAAGCGGCAUGUUUAAAUUUCUUCCCUCUUCUUCUCUUUACUCAGAUUGAAAUGAUAUGAUGUGUUGCUAGGAUUGAAUGAUUGGUAGUUAUAAUAUUUUUGUAAUGGUGAUGUGCCAUAUGAUAUGUGAAAAUAGGUGUUUAAGGUGGCUUAUAUCACUGUAUAUCAUCAUGCAUACUUGUGUGUAUAGCAUAUAUUGCGAUAUACAUUGUCGAAUAUAUGAUAUACAAUAAUAUUCACGAUAUACAUUUUGAUAUACACUGGCAGAAAAUGUGUCUGGCAUAAAAUCUGUGCGUGAUAUAGAGUGAUACACAACAACAACGACCCAAUGAAAUCCCACUAGUGAGGUCUUGGGAAGAUAGCGUGUACGCAUAUCUUAUCCCUAUCCCGAGGGGUAGUGAUACACACGAUAUACAAUUAUGAGGGGUAGUGAUACACACGAUAUACAAUUAUGUACUCCCUCCGGUCCACAAUAAGUGACCAAUUUGCUUUGGGCAUACCCAUUAAGAAAAUACUAAAUUCUAGACGAAAAUAGUUAAUGUGACUAAACUACCCUUCAUCAAAUGUUGCACAAUAGUUAUAGUAGUACUUCUCUUCUCUUCUCAAAUGUGAGGAGUAAAUGACUUUUUAAGGAUACGUACAUAAAGGUAAUUUUGAAAAAAUAAAUUGAAUUUUUUCUUGAUUAUAUAAAUGGAUAUUUAUUUUGGACCAAAAUAAAAAAGUAAAUUGGUCACUUAUUAUGGACCGGAGGGAGUAUAUAUUAUCUAUAACGGAAAUUUUAGGUGACCUGUCAUUUUCUUCCGGUGAUAGAGUACGUUGAAAAUUUUAUGAGAAUUUUGGAGGUUAUUAAGGGGUUGUUGGAGAAAGUAUCUGAGAUAGUGUUGAGAAACAGACAAAAUUAUAGGAGCUACUUGUUGCUAAUUUUUUGGGCUACAUAUGCCAAUAAAAUUUCUCGGCCGAAAGAUGGUCAAUUACAGAAUUAUUCAUUAAAGUUGUACAUAGAUAUCAAUUUUGUAAGGCCCCGUGAAAAUUUCUACUCAAAACCCGAAAGCUCGUAGUGCCAAGUUAGGCAUGUGUUAGAGAUGUGUAAAAGUUAGCCGCGGUUCAGACCCUUUGGAUUGACCUGUGUAUUAAAAAGUUAAGGAAUAAUGUUUUCCAGAAAAGUGCGUUUCUGCGGUCCAUUAUGCGACCGCAGAAUAGCUAUACGGACCGCAUAGUCGCCGCAGAGUCAGGCAGUGUGAUGGUUAAUUUGAGGUCAACUAUGCGGUCAAUUAUGCGAUCGCAUAAACACUAUGCGGGCCGCAUAGUUAUCGCAUAAUCCCCUUGGAAUAUUGUAAGGGGUAGUUCUGCGGUGCAUUAUGCGACCGCAGAACAGGUAUGCAGGCCGCAUUUCUGUCGCAUACCCAGACAGUGUGUUCAGGUUUUGGGGCCAUUUUUGCGGUCCAUUCUGCGGGCCACAUGUCCAUUAUGCGAUCGCAGAUUGUGUCAGGACUCCUAUUUUCUAACUUUUAAAACCCGGCUCCAUCCCAUUAAAAAUACCCCAUUAGACCAUUUUUCUGUUAUUUCACGGCAUAUAGAGUGAGAGAGGAAGUUCUAGAGAGAGAGAGGGAGUGAUCUUCAUCAAGUCCCCACUCACUCCUUGCCCCAAAUCCUUGAAGAUUGUCAAGUGAAAUUGCUAGGUCUUCACCCUAAGAGGUAAGAACUUGUACCCUCAUCUAUAAUUUCAAAAUUUCUAUUAAAAUAAGUGAUUAGCAAGUGAGUUCAUGGGUAUAAAGGUUGAUAAUCUCGCAUGCAUAAAAGAUAAUGGGGUAUGGGGAGGUUGUGAACCAAAAAGAUAACAAUUGUGGUAUAGGAUGAUGAAAAUCUCUCACAAAAGGGGUCCUAAAAAUCACUGUGCACACUUAGUGCUUGAUAAUUUACUUAAAUGAGCCAAAAUCUUAUUCAUGUCUCUAAUUCUUGGUUCAACUUGUAAUUUUCAUAAAAUAGAUCGAGGUUGCUAGGAAAUUCCGGAAUUUAUUAUAAGGAUUUAAGGAAAGCUCUAUUGAGGUUUGUAUGGCUAAAACCCCCUCCUCUUAGAAAUUGAGCCUCCAUGGUGCCUGUGCAAAUGUUGUAAGUCCGAAAUUUGAUUGAUGUAGUACUUGUUAUACCAAAUGAAUUGAUGUUGUGAAAAUGCAUGUGGAAGGUGCUUCUCUAUGUGUUUAAUGUGUUAUUCUUUGUAAAUUGAGGAUGUGUGGUGGACAUGAACUAUGUGCUAAAUGCCUAAAUGUCAAGUUAAGGUUACAUUGUGAUUAAUAUGCCGAACUAGAUAAAUUCCCCUCUAUGCUUAUAACUUAAAUUGCUUUUGUGUGUGCCUAUGAUCUUAAAUGGCAAGGUUAAUGUUGAAAAUGAGAAUAAUGUGAAACGUGAGUUAUGAAUGUGGCAAUUGUGGCCCCAAGUGCUGAUGAACUAAUACAUGUGGAACCAAAGAUUGAAGUGAGAAUGAUUAAUAGAAAAGGGUAACGUCUUGGUAAGAUGGCUUAGCCGAUCGGGCCGUGAUCGGACGCCAUGUUAUACACACAUGGUGGUAAUGUAUUGAUAAUUGAACCUGGAAAGUGAGAAUGAAAUAAGGGUAACGUCUUGAUAAGACGGCUUAGCCGAUCGGGCCAUGAUCGGACUCCACUCAAGGAAGCGAUGGUAAUGUGGAUGAUGAUGCAAUGAUAUGGAAUGCCCCAAUCUAAAAUUUCAGAAAUUAUGUGAAAACUAUGUGAACCUCUUAUAUUGUUGAUGUAGUGCUUGAUUGAAGCUUGUUGUCCUUAUGAUUUCUUUUUUACUUUUGUAUGGUUGUUCUUUCUAAUUGGAAGGUGUUUAGUUAUACAUACUAGUACUAUUCCAUGGUACUAACGUCCCUUUUGCCAGGGGGCGCUACAUUUUUAAAUGAAUGUAGGUGGCUCCAUAGCGGAUAGUGCCGAUCGCGCGUAGCGGAGCAUCCUCCUCUCAAAGGCUUGGUGAGCCCCUUUCUCCCUCAAGGGGUUAUGUUGUACAUCUUUUGUUAUAGAUAUCCACUUUUGAGGUAUAGCCGGGGCCUUGUUGCCGGCGUUGUCAUUAUUGUCUUUUGUAUCCUUAGAGGCUCCGUAGACGUUUGUGUGAGUUAUGUAUGGGUGUUGGAUGAAUCAAUGAACUAUGUUGUAACUUGGUACUCUAGUUCCUCUAAACUAUAACUGUAUGAAAUCUUGAAACUUAACCAUGAUUUUAGGUUUGGGACAUGAAAAUUGAUUAAUAAUGUGAAUGUUUGAUUUUGCUAUUGUCUAAAUAAACGGAAGCAUGGUUCCCUUAA